UCAUGGCUCAGAUUGAACGCUGGCGGGAUGCUUUGGUACAUGCAAGUCGAACGGCAGCACGGACUUCGGUCUGGUGGCGAGUGGCGAACGGGUGAGUAAUGUAUCGGAACGUGCCUAGUAGCGGGGAUAACUACGCGAAAGCGUAGCUAAUACCGCACACAGCCCUUCGGGGGAAAGCGGGGGGACCUUCGGGCCUCGCAAUUAGAGCGGCCGAUAUCGGAUUAGCUAGUUGGUGGGUAACGGCUCACCAAGGCGACGAUCCGUAGCUGGUUUGAGAGGACGACCAGCCACACUGGGACUGAGACACGGCCCAGACUCCUACGGAGGCAGCAGUGGGAAUUUUGACAAUGGGGGAAACCCUGAUCCAGCCAUCCCGCGUGUGCGAUGAAGGCCUUCGGGUUGUAAAGCACUUUUGGCAGGAAAGUUAAAACGGCACGGGAUAAUACCCCGUGCAACUGACAGUACCUGCAGAAUAAGCACUACACCAUGUGCCAGCAGCCGCGGUAAUACGUAGGGUGCAAGCGUUAAUCGGAAUUACUGGGCGUAAAGCGCGCAGGCGGUUCGGAAAGAAGAUGGAAUCCCAGAGCUUAAAUCCUUCUUGGAACUGCAUUUAACUACCGAGUUAGAGUGUGUCAGAGGGAGGUGGAAUUCGCGUAGCAGCGAAAUGCGUAGAUAUGGCGGAGGAACACCGAUGGCGAAGGCAGCCUCUGGAUAACACUGACGCUCAUGCACGAAAGCGUGGGGAGCAACAGAUUAGAUACUCCUGUAGUCCACGCCCUAAACGAUGUCAACUAGCUGUUGGGGCCUUCGGGCCUUGGUAGCGCAGCAACGCGUGAAGUUGACCCCGCCUGGGGAGUACGGUCGCAAGAUUAAAACUCAAAGGAAUUGACGGGGAUCCCGCACAAGCGGUGGAUGAUGUGGAUUAAUUCGAUGCAACGCGAAAAACCUUACCUACCCUUGACAUGUCUGAACUCUGGAAGAGAUUUUGGGAGUGCCUGCAAGAGGAACCGGAACACAGGUGCUGCAUGGCUGUCGUCACCGUGUUUGCAGAUGCUGGGUUAAGUCCCGCAACGAGCAAGUAAACCUCGUGGUUGGCUAGUUGCCACGAAAGGGCACUCUACGAGACUGCUGGUGACAAACCGAGGAAGGUGGGGAUGACGUCAAGUCCUCAUGGCCCUUAUGGUAGGGCUUCACACGUCAUACAAUGGUCGGGACAGUGGUCGCCAACCCGCGAGGGGGAGCUAAUCCCAGAAACCCGAUCGUAGUCCGGAUCGCAGUCUGCAACUCGACUGCGUGAAGUCGGAAUCGCUAGUAAUCGCGGAUCAGCAUGUCGCGGUGAAUACGUUCCUGGUCUUGUACACACCGCCCGUCACACCAUGUGGGAGUGGGCUUUACCAGAAGUAGUUAGCCUAACCGUAAGGAGGGCGAUUACCACGGUAGGAUUCAUGACUGGGGUGAAGUCGUAACAAGGUAG
rnacentral:rRNA from 1 species